GAUUUUAAUUUCUUGUAUUAACUUUUCUGAACUUAUUUUAAUUAGUAAGGAGGGAUCUCAGACUCCCUGGGUGCUGGGAUUCUGGUCCCUUUGGUCCAAGUGGUGAUUUUGACUGCAAAGACCCCAUCCUGACUGGGAGAGGACUGCCGUUGUCCAGUGUUGCCUAAGCAGGAAAACUGAAAAGAAAGUCUUCCUCAUCCUCAGGGACAACUGAGACUGGAACCAACUGAGGCAUCAAUAAAGAAUCUCAUCUCCUCCAGGCCAAUGUCCUUCUCUUCAGCUUGGCUCAAUCCUGUGUUCAGGAUUCACUGACUCACAGGCCCUUAGAACUCUAUGGAUCCUUUCCCUGUUUUCCCAAGCAUGCCUGCUCUUCUCUAAAAGAACCUCCUGUGGCAUCCAGACCAAGAAUCCAAUGGGCCAAGAUCCAUAAUACAAACAAGAGAAGACAUCUGGGUGUGGGGUAUAGGCUCCUGUGACCAGAGGACCAGGACCCCACGUGAUCAAAGGGGAUCUGUGUUCAACAGCUUUCUUAGUGAUACAGAACCAAUGAGAUGUAUACAUAAGGAGAUUUACGAUGGAAAUUGCUUAUUGCUUAAUCCCAGAAGGUCCAUCAUCUGCUGUCUGUAAGAUAGAGAUUAGGAAAGCUAGGAGUUCAAUUAGUCUGAGUCUGGAGACCUGAGAACCAAGCCUAUGUCUGAGGGCAGGAGAAAGUGGAUGUCCCAGCUUAAGAAGAGAAAGAGAGAGAAAAAAGAGAGAGAGGGAGGGAGAGAAAGAAAGAAAGAGAGGGAGAAUUUCCCCUUCCUUUCUCUGUUCUGUUGGAGCCCUCAGUAGAUGAGAUGAUGCUGCCCGCACUGGUGAGGGUGGAUCUUCUUUACUUGGUUUACCAAUUCAAAUACUAAUACCUUCCAGAAACACCUUCACACACACACACACACACACACACACACACACACACACACUCAGGGCUGUCUGGGCAGCCCUGAGCUCAGUCAAGUUAACAGACAAAAUUAGUUAUCACGGGAUCUAAGCUCCACUUAGCUCUAACCAGUCAGAUCAUUCCGAAAGAAGCACACAGUGUUGCCAGCUAUUCUGCUCUUACUAGAGAAGCUGGAAGUGUUUUAAAGUAAGAUGUAGUGCAAUUAAAAAAAAAUAAUAACACAAGACAUGUCCAAUUACAAAAGUCUGUGGGUCAGAUGUUUUCUGUAGCUGCUAGUGAGCUACCCGUGGGUAUAGGCAAAAUUAUCUAGACCUUUAUCCCCUUCUACUGUGUAUCUAACACCUAGAACACUUAGCUAUGUGUUCAUUCAUCAACAACUUCUGAAUUGGUAAGAUGUAGGGUGCUGGGGAGAAUGGGUAACUAAGACCCAACACACUCAUAAGUAAGGAAUGCAGUGGAGUGUGAGGAUGCUUGCUUCCACAGCACCCACAUAGAAUUCCAUCAUGGCAUUUGGCACCCUGGCCAGAAGGUCAUGAUUUCUUGGGCUGUCUUCUCAACUGCCUGGAACCAUGUCCUUUAGGUCUGUAGAUCCAGUAUCUUACAUAGUCUGGCACAUCAUAGUGGCUCCAGAAAAGCAAUUGACAAUUGAGUGAAUCACCCACUGACAGUCAUUCAGAGCUGUGAAAGCAAAAGAAGGGGUCCUUGGCCUCUAUCUGUAGCUCUCCCUCAAUUCUGAUUUUAUAAGAUCAUUUCAUCAAAAAAGCUAAUGUCAAUUGUUUCACAUUAGACUUCUUCAUGUAUACCCUCUGUUAGGUGCAGGACAGGCUGAGUAAGCUGUCUGCAGGGCAUGCCAAACAAAGUUAGCUGCAGGAUGAGCUGGCU